GGGUUACUCACUGUGAUGACUUGGGGGCACUGUGAUAUAUUCAUACAAAAACUUAAGAGUAAUAAUCUGACACUCUGCCUUUCUUGUGAUGGAAAAAAGGACAGGACAAAGUAUUUCUCAUUGGAAUAUGAGGUUUUUGUACAAGCAGUGAGUGGAGAUGCAGCACUGUGAUUACUUCACUACUGGGGUCGUGGGACUGAAGUCACAGUAUCUACAGGAACACCCACACCACCAACACCACCCACUCUGUUCCCUUUGGUUCAGUGCCAACCUGGGUCUGGAGAUAAAAUCACUGUUGGUUGUUUUGCACGCGACUUCUACCCAAAGAGUCUUACAUUCCAG